GUGUCAGCAGCCGCGGUAAUACGGAGGGUGCGAGCGUUAAUCGGAAUUACUGGGCGUAAAGCGCGCGUAGGCGGUUUGUUAAGUCAGCUGUGAAAGCCCCGGGCUCAACCUGGGAACUGCAGUUGAUACUGGCCGACUGGAGUGCGAGAGAGGGAGGUAGAAUUCCAUGUGUAGCGGUGAAAUGCGUAGAUAUAUGGAGGAAUACCGGUGGCGAAGGCGGCCUCCUGGCUCGACACUGACGCUGAGGUGCGAAAGCGUGGGGAUCAAACAGGAUUAGAUACCCCGGUAGUCC
rnacentral:rRNA from 1 species